CAAUACCUACGGGACGCAGCAGUGGGGAAUAUUGCACAAUGGGGGGAACCCUGAUGCAGCGACGCCGCGUGGGUGAAGGAGUAUUUCGGUAUGUAAAGCCCUAUCAGCAGGGAAGAACAAUGACGGUACCUGACUAAGAAGCACCGGCUAAAUACGUGCCAGCAGCCGCGGUAAUACGUAUGGUGCAAGCGUUAUCCGGAUUUACUGGGUGUAAAGGGAGCGCAGGCGGCGCGUUAAGCCUGGUGUGAAAGCCCGCGGCCCAACCGCGGGCCUGCUCUGGAAACUGUGCGGCUUGAGUGCGGGAG
rnacentral:rRNA from 1 species